UACGAAGGGGGCUAGCGUUGCUCGGAAUCACUGGGCGUAAAGCGCACGUAGGCGGCUUUUAAGUCAGGGGUGAAAUCCUGGAGCUCAACUCCAGAACUGCCUUUGAUACUGGGAAGCUUGAGUCCGGGAGAGGUGAGUGGAACUGCGAGUGUAGAGGUGAAAUUCGUAGAUAUUCGCAAGAACACCAGUGGCGAAGGCGGCUCACUGGCUCGGUACUGACGCUGAGGUGCGAAAGCGUGGGGAGCA
rnacentral:rRNA from 1 species